UACGUAGGGGGCGAGCGUUGUCCGGAAUUAUUGGGCGUAAAGCGCGCGCAGGCGGUCCCUUAAGUCUGAUGUGAAAGCUCACGGCUCAACCGUGGAGAGCCAUUGGAAACUGGGGGACUUGAGUGCAGAAGAGGAGAGCGGAAUUCCAUGUGUAGCGGUGAAAUGCGUAGAGAUAUGGAGGAACACCAGUGGCGAAGGCGGCUCUCUGGUCUGUAACUGACGCUGAGGCGCGAAAGCGUGGGGAGCAAAC
rnacentral:rRNA from 1 species